GAGACACUGAACAGACUAACUUGGCUGC
rnacentral:piRNA from 1 species